rnacentral:lncRNA from 7 species
CUGUGCUCGGGUGACUUCUGGACCUUCUGAAACAAAAGCUCAAGUUUUCAAGCAGCUUGUCUUUCACUGGGAACCCUGAGGGAGGACGGACAUUGACUAACAUUUGUUCAAGGCCAUCUAUGUAAAACAUAUCCGAAAGGUCUUUGCGAAGCAAAGCUUUGCAUGGCCCCAAAAAGGAAUUCAAAAAACAAGUUGGAUAAACAAGAAGAACUUUCUGUCUGCUCGGAAACAUGUAGGCUAAUGUCCUUGAGCGAGUGCCAGGCCUCCGGGGGUUACGUCCAGGGAACGUGAGUCAAGCCUCGCCAGGCUCUGUCACCUGCAGCUUUGUGUGCAAUGCUAUUCCUUCAAAUAUUUCAGGAAGAGGUGAUUUUCUCUGCACUGUUGUCAUGGGUUGCAAUUGGGUUUGGUGGAGCCUUGCAGCGUCCUGACCGAACGUUCAGUGCCAGUCCGUAAGAACAUCCUGCUUCACUUUCAUGUCCAAAGCUACUGCGAUGCUUUGCCAACUCUGAGCACAGCAUUAAAAUAAAAGAGAGACUUGAUCCACUUGACAUUCAUGGAUAAGUAUUUUUUUUUUCCCUUCUUUAUUUUCCCAUUAGAAGUGUUCAACAGAAGCUGUAGAUGCUCGGUAUCAUCCAGGCUGUUGCCUGAGGGUGGAACAAUGAAGAUUCUUUUGGAAAGUGGCUAAAAUGUGGGGCCGUGAGCAUGAUGCCAUUUGGCACUUGUGUGAUCUUCCCUGCUCACAGCCACGAGGAUCAGUCACCAGAGGCUGAAAUCUUUGCUGCCAACUUUCAGCCCAGGAAAGGUGUUAGAGAUUGAAUUGCACUGUGAUCCUUGGGAAAAGAGGGCAUAUCUUUGUCAUUUUGUGUUACUGACAUUUCUAGGGAUUUUGACAGAAGGAAGAUAGCAGGAAUGUACAACUCCUGUCAGUGAGCAUCCCGAAAUAUUUCUGAGUAAAUGAUGACAGAUGCUUCAAGCCAGAGAUGCUGUUAGACACUGAGAAAUAGUGAUUUUCUUUUACUCUCAGCUGAAACUCUGAUUAUUUUAUUUUCCCAAGCAAAAGGUCAAUAUGACAUGCACAUCAUAUAUUCAUACCGCAACUCUUAUAUUUCAUUCUUGCCAUUGUUUUUUGUGUGUAAGUGGAGAUAAAACAGCUAAAUGCAU